GGUACAGGGAGUCGCAAUGGGCACCUCUUGUGCACCAUCAUACGCGAACCUGUACCUGGGGGGGUGGGAGCGAGAUUUAUUUUCUGUUGAAGAACCUAUUGGUUUACUUGCAUUUGUGUUGGGUUGGUUCAGGUAUAUAGAUGACGUCCUGUUACUUUGGACAGGAGGUCCCACAAAUUUGCAGGCCUUCAUGCAACUACUGAGUCGCAAUGAUUACAACCUAAAAAUUACAAUGUGUUCAAGUCAAUCGGAAAUUGCGUUCCUUGACAUCCUGAUAUACGUAAAUGAAGGGGGUAUGAUAAAUACCUCCUUAUUUCGCAAACCCACAGCAGGAAACACUAUCCUGCACGCUGCAAGCGCCCAUCCCUCUCCAUUGGUUUGGAGUAUACCAUACGGACAGUAUCUGCGUUUGCGGCGCAAUUGUUCUGACUCUAGUAAAUUCAAGGCAAAUGAGAUGAAAUUGUUGCAUUUGUUUGUGGAGUGGAUCCGUCCGCAGGAAAUAUUUAUACAUUGUUAGACGAUUUGUCCGUGAACCUCUCCUGCCAGAUCUGUCUCCUACCACUUGGAUUUUACCGGCUCCUAGGGAUCAAAGGUUGACAUAUCAAAACGCUUCCUACCAAAAUCAUCAUUGCCUAGGAGUUCAUGCAUGCCUGAUCGACAUAGCGUCACUGACGUGUAUGUCCACGUAUUCUGGUAAGAGUAUCCAUUUAUUUAUCUUUUUGGAUAUCACUGUGAAUCGUUGAUGAGGUUCCUACCACCUACACUGAUCGUUUGAUUAGUAUACCAUAGAGGAUCAUUAUUCAUCAGUCCCUUCUGAGUGGUUGUUCGUUUUUCCUUCACAAGAAGUUCGGACCAUUUCCACCUCCUAAAGACUGCACAUACUAGUCCGAUAUCGGACUGAUAUAUAUACAUAUUUUUUUGCUUGGACUUUGUGUUUGGUUUACCCCAGUUUGUUAUCACAUACAGGUGUUAUAUCACUUAUUGUAGUGUGUUGUACACAUCUCUAAUUGGAACACCACCUCCUAGUGGUUUUCCAUAUUAUUACAUUGUUUCACACAUUUUUUAUUUCUUUCACUCACCACACUAUUCUGGAGAGUGUACUCAGCACAGGCUGUGACCCUGGGGCAUAUACGGACGCUAUAUGUACACAGUAAGUACCUGCUGACAACCUCUCAAAUCUAUCUCUAUAUCCUCUAUAUGUCUAUCUAAAACGGUGCUCUGUUUAUUAUAUGUUCACAGAGGUGUUUGCAAAACGAUCUCUGUUAUACAGGAGAUGCUGUUCCUUUAAUGAUGGAUGGCCUUGUGUUUGCCUCUAUGAGCUGUCUUUUGCCCCAGCUUUAAGUCCCCUAGUGGAUUUUUAAGGGAUUCGGUUACCUGCAUCUCUAUCCCCGACACGUCUUCUUUUGCCUGGGGACUGUAAUGUGUAUUCGCUCAUGUCAUUAUUGACAUAUUUGGCCUGGACCUGCGAUCAUCGAUCUCUAAACAUAUUUUUAUACUAUCUUCUACCAUCGGUAUAUAUUUCAUCUAUCCUUGGAGUUAUCCUGGAUGAUUAUAUCCACCGCUGUGUAUCAGAUUGUGAAAAACAUAGCUACAUAGUAUCGAUAAUCCUGUUCAUUUCGUCCUGAAGAAGCCCCACGGUGAAACACGUAGGCGACUUCAAUAGGAUUCUUUCACUAUUUUCUGGAUGGUUGUAUUGUGAUUGUAAUCAGCUGCAUUCCAUUAUACCAUUGAUAGUGUACAUUUUGUAAAUUUAUGUAAUAAAAUAUAUAUUUAUACUUC